rnacentral:rRNA from 1 species
ACUUUAAUUGAAGAGUUUGAUCAUGGCUCAGAUUGAACGCUGGCGGCAGGCCUAACACAUGCAAGUCGAGCGGUAACAGGGAGAAGCUUGCUUCUCUGCUGACGAGCGGCGGACGGGUGAGUAAUGUCUGGGAAACUGCCUGAUGGAGGGGGAUAACUACUGGAAACGGUAGCUAAUACCGCAUAACGUCGCAAGACCAAAGUGGGGGACCUUCGGGCCUCAUGCCAUCAGAUGUGCCCAGAUGGGAUUAGCUAGUAGGUGGGGUAAAGGCUCACCUAGGCGACGAUCCCUAGCUGGUCUGAGAGGAUGACCAGCCACACUGGAACUGAGACACGGUCCAGACUCCUACGGGAGGCAGCAGUGGGGAAUAUUGCACAAUGGGCGCAAGCCUGAUGCAGCCAUGCCGCGUGUAUGAAGAAGGCCUUCGGGUUGUAAAGUACUUUCAGCGAGGAGGAAGGGAGUGAGUUUAAUACGCUCAUUCAUUGACGUUACUCGCAGAAGAAGCACCGGCUAACUCCGUGCCAGCAGCCGCGGUAAUACGGAGGGUGCAAGCGUUAAUCGGAAUUACUGGGCGUAAAGCGCACGCAGGCGGUUUGUUAAGUCAGAUGUGAAAUCCCCGGGCUCAACCUGGGAACUGCAUUUGAAACUGGCAAGCUUGAGUCUCGUAGAGGGGGGUAGAAUUCCAGGUGUAGCGGUGAAAUGCGUAGAGAUCUGGAGGAAUACCGGUGGCGAAGGCGGCCCCCUGGACGAAGACUGACGCUCAGGUGCGAAAGCGUGGGGAGCAAACAGGAUUAGAUACCCUGGUAGUCCACGCCGUAAACGAUGUCGACUUGGAGGUUGUGCCCUUGAGGCGUGGCUUCCGGAGCUAACGCGUUAAGUCGACCGCCUGGGGAGUACGGCCGCAAGGUUAAAACUCAAAUGAAUUGACGGGGGCCCGCACAAGCGGUGGAGCAUGUGGUUUAAUUCGAUGCAACGCGAAGAACCUUACCUGGUCUUGACAUCCAGAGAAUCCUGCAGAGAUGCGGGAGUGCCUUCGGGAACUCUGAGACAGGUGCUGCAUGGCUGUCGUCAGCUCGUGUUGUGAAAUGUUGGGUUAAGUCCCGCAACGAGCGCAACCCUUAUCCUUUGUUGCCAGCGGUUCGGCCGGGAACUCAAAGGAGACUGCCGGUGAUAAACCGGAGGAAGGUGGGGAUGACGUCAAGUCAUCAUGGCCCUUACGACCAGGGCUACACACGUGCUACAAUGGCGCAUACAAAGAGAAGCGACCUCGCGAGAGCAAGCGGACCUCAUAAAGUGCGUCGUAGUCCGGAUUGGAGUCUGCAACUCGACUCCAUGAAGUCGGAAUCGCUAGUAAUCGUGGAUCAGAAUGCCACGGUGAAUACGUUCCCGGGCCUUGUACACACCGCCCGUCACACCAUGGGAGUGGGUUGCAAAAGAAGUAGGUAGCUUAACCUUCGGGAGGGCGCUUACCACUUUGUGAUUCAUGACUGGGGUGAAGUCGUAACAAGGUAACCGUAGGGGAACCUGCGGUUGGAUCACCUCCUUACCUGUAAAGA